UACGGGGGGGGCAAGCGUUGUUCGGAAUUACUGGGCGUAAAGGGCGCGUAGGCGGCCAACUAAGUCGGAUGUGAAAUCCCCAGGCUUAACCUGGGAACUGCAUCCGAUACUGGAUGGCUUGAAUCCGGGAGAGGGAUGCAGAAUUCCAGGUGUAGCGGUGAAAUGCGUAGAUAUCUGGAGGAAUACCGGUGGCGAAGGCGGCAUCCUGGACCAAUAUUGACGCUGAGGAGCGAAAGCCAGGGGAGCAAACGGG
rnacentral:rRNA from 1 species